rnacentral:rRNA from 1 species
GUGAGGAAUUUUCCGCAAUGGGCGAAAGCCUGACGGAGCAAUGCCGCGUGAAGGAUGAAGGCCUAUGGGUUGUAAACUUCUUUUCUCAGAAAAGAAUUAUGACGGUAUCUGAGGAAUAAGCAUCGGCUAACUCUGUGCCAGCAGCCGCGGUAAGACAGAGGAUGCAAGCGUUAUCCGGAAUGAUUGGGCGUAAAGCGUCUGUAGGUUGUUUAAAAAGUAUUCUGUCAAAGAUUAGGGCUUAACCCUAGAUAGGCAGAAUAAACUUUUAAGCUAGAGUUUGGUAGAGGCAGAGGAAAUUCCCGGUGGAGCGGUGAAAUGCGUAGAUAUCGGGAGGAACACCAAAGGCGAAGGCACUCUGCUGGGCCAAUACUAACACUGAGAGACGAAAGCGAGGGGAGCAAAUGGGAUUAGAAACCCCUGUAGUCC